AGACGUAGGGGGCGAGCGUUGUCCGGAAUUACUGGGCGUAAAGAGCACGUAGGCGGGAUUUUAAGUCAGGUGUGAAAGACCGUGGCUCAACCACGGGGUUGCACUUGAAACUGGGAUUCUUGAGGGCAGGAGAGGAAAGUGGAAUUCCUGGUGUAGCGGUGAAAUGCGUAGAAAUCAGGAGGAACACCGGUGGCGAAGGCGACUUUCUGGACUGACCCUGACGCUGAGGUGCGAAAGCGUGGGUAGCAAACAGGAUUAGAUACCCUGGUAGUCCACGCUGUAAACGAUGGAUACUAGGUGUGGGAGGUAUCGACCCCUUCCGUGCCGCAGCUAACGCAAUAAGUAUCCCGCCUGGGGAGUACGGUCGCAAGGCUGAA
rnacentral:rRNA from 1 species